rnacentral:rRNA from 1 species
UCCUGGCUUAGGACGAACGCUGGCGGCGUGCCUAAUACAUGCAAGUCGAACGGUCUUUCUAUGGAAGCUUGCUUCCACUGAGAAGAUAGUGGCGAACGGGUGAGUAACACGUGGGUAACCUGCCCAUAAGAGGGGGGAUAACAUCCGGAAACGGGUGCUAAUACCGCAUAGUUUUCUUGAUCGCAUGAUCGGGAAAGGAAAGACGGCCUUUGUGCUGUCGCUUAUGGAUGGACCCGCGGCGUAUUAGUUAGUUGGUGAGGUAACGGCUCACCAAGACGAUGAUACGUAGCCGACCUGAGAGGUGAUCGGCCACAUUGGGACUGAGACACGGCCCAAACUCCUACGGGAGGCAGCAGUAGGGAAUCUUCCGCAAUGGACGAAAGUCUGACGGAGCAACGCCGCGUGAGUGAAAGAAGGUUUUCGGAUCGUAAAACUCUGUUGUCAGAGAAGAACAAGUUGGAGAGUAACUGCUCCAGCCUUGACGGUAUCUGACCAGAAAGCCACGGCUAACUACGUGCCAGCCGCCGC